rnacentral:rRNA from 1 species
CCCUUAGAUGUUCUGGGCUGUACGCGCGCUACACUGAAGCUAUCAACACGUUUUCCCUCCCUGAGAAGGGCGGGUAACCUUUUGAAUCAGCUUCGUGGUAGGGAUCGGGGCUUGCAAUUGUUCCCCGUGAACCAGGAAUUCCUAGUAGACGCGAGUCAUAAGCUCGCAUCGAUUAAGUCCCUGCCCUUUGUACACACCGCCCGUCGCUACUACCGAUUGAACGUUUUAGUGAGGCAUUUGGACCGACGCAUCUCAGUUUAACCGCUGGUUUGUGUUGGAAAGACUUCCAAACUUGAGCGUUUAGAGGAAGUAAAAGUCGUAACA